rnacentral:rRNA from 1 species
AUGGCCGACACCGCGCCGGCCGACGACCGGCCGGAGCCCUGCCCCGUCGCCGCGGACCCGUCGCCCCCUCCGCCCCCCACGCCGGAGGAGCUGGUGGCCCGCGGCGUCGCGCCCGUCAAGCCCGCCUUCCUCCGCCCGGCCCCCGUCCGCGACGCCCCCGGCGAGGACGGCAGGGCCAGCGGCGCCGUCCCCCUCGAGAAGAAGUCCAAGCGCCAGUUCAGGCGCGACCGCAAGCAGGAACAGGAGUCGGUGUUGCGUCUUUGUGUGGCAGUUGCCAAAAGUGGAAAUGUGGACGCUUGCAAAUUUGGUGCUUCUUGCCGUUUCACCCAUGACAUAGAUGCUUAUUUGGCUCAGAAACCAGCUGACCUUGAAGGAACAUGUCCAUUCACUGUUCUGGGGCAGCCAUGUCCGUAUGGACUAACUUGCAGAUUUUCUGGUACACACAAAGAUAACCAUGCACCUUCUGAAAGUCACGAGAUAAACACUUUGAGUAAGGAUGUUCAAAAGCUCUUAUGGAAGACCAAAUAUAAAUUUCCCAGGGCCAGUGAGCAGAUCAAACAUCUUGGUCUUAAGGAAGUCAUCAAGAUUAAAGCAAGUGCAUUAGCUGAAGAUCGGAGCGCUGAUCAUGAUAAUCCAGACGUAUCAUGUGAACUGAAUGGUGAUGAAAAAACUGAAUCUUCUUGCAAUGCUGCUGUGAAUGUGGAACAUGAUUCCAGUUUGUGCAAAGAAAUUGAUAAAUUGGGGGGAGAACCUUUGGAUGGUGACUCUGUUGCAAGGGCAGCAAAGAAGUCAAAGAUUGAAGUUGUUGAAAUUAACAAAGGAGCUGGUACUCAUGACACUAAGCCGGAGCCUGAAGAUCCUAAUUUAGUUAAUGGAUUGGAAGUGCCCUCAAAUAUCCCAAGCUCUUGCAGAGUUGACCUAGUCGCAACACCUCAUUUACGUGAAAGGAAGAUAAUAGAUUUUCGGGAGAAGCUGUACCUUGCUCCCUUGACCACUGUUGGAAAUCUUCCUUUCCGGAGGCUGUGCAAAACAUUGGGAGCUGAUGUUACUUGUGGAGAAAUGGCCAUGUGCACAAAUCUUAUGCAGGGGCAAGCUUCAGAGUGGGCUUUGCUGCGAAGACAUUCAUCAGAGGAUUUGUUUGGGGUGCAAAUCUGUGGAGCUUUUCCAGAUACAGUGUCACGGACAAUUGAACUUGUGGAUAAUGAGUGUUCGUUUGACUUUGUUGACAUAAAUAUGGGCUGCCCAAUCGAUUUAGUUGUCAAUAAGGGUGCUGGGUCCUCAUUGCUUAACAAACCUAUGAGGAUUAAGAGUAUUGUUCAAGCAUCAUCUGUCGUUACUAAAAGGCCUUUAACUGUUAAGGUAAGAACAGCUUUCUUUGAAGGCAGGAACCGUGCUGAUUCUUUAGUUUCAGACAUUUAUGACUGGGGUGCUUCAGCCAUAACAAUACAUGGUCGAUCGCGGCAACAACGCUACAGCAAAAAUGCCGAUUGGGACUAUAUUAACCAGUGUGCACAGAAGGCCCCUGACGACUUGCAUGUCAUUGGAAAUGGGGAUAUAUUCUCCUUUACCGACUGGAACAGGCAUGUUUCUGGCAGCUCCAAAAUUUCCACUUGCAUGAUUGCUCGAGGUGCGCUUGUCAAGCCUUGGAUAUUUACUGAGAUAAAAGAACAAAGGGACUGGGAUAUCACAUCAGGCGAGAGAUUGAAUAUUCUGAAAGAUUUUACGCGUUUCGGUUUGGAACACUGGGGCUCUGACACCAAAGGUGUGGAGACGACACGCCAUUUCCUACUAGAAUGGCUGAGCUACACGUGCCGGUACAUCCCGGUCGGGCUGCUGGACGUCGUCCCGCAGCAGCUGAACUGGAGGCCCCCGAGCUACUGUGGCCGCGACGACCUCGAGACCCUGAUGGCCUCCGACUCAGCAGCCGACUGGGUGAGGAUCUCGGAGCUGCUGCUCGGCAAAGUCCCGGAAGGGUUCACCUUCGCGCCCAAGCACAAGUCGAACUCGUACGACCGCGCCGAGAACGGCUAA